AGAUUGAACGCUGGCGGCAUGCCUAACACAUGCAAGUCGAGCGGCAGCGGCGGGGCGACCUGGCGGCGAGCGGCGGACGGGUGAGUAAGGCAUCGGAAUCUCGCCCUGAUGGUGGGGAUAACGGUAGGGAAACUUACGCUAAUACCGCAUACGACCGAGAGGUAGAAAGGCGGGGGAACCGAAAGGCCUCGCGCAGCAGGAUGAGCCGAUGUCCGAUUAGCUUGGUUGGGUAGGGGUAAACGGCCUACCAAGGCGACGAUCGGUAGCUGGUCUGAGAGGAUGAUCAGCCACACGUGGGACUGAGAC
rnacentral:rRNA from 1 species